UGGCUCAGAACGAACGCUGGCGGCGUGCCUAAUACAUGCAAGUCGAGCGGUAAGGCUCCUUCGGGAGUACACGAGCGGCGGACGGCUGAGUAACACGUAGGAACGUACCCCAAAGUGAGGGAUAAGCACCAGAAAUGGUGUCUAAUACCGCAUGUGCUCUUCGGAGUAAAGCUUCGGCGCUAUGGGAACGGCCUGCGUCCGAUUAGCUAGUUGGUUAUGUAAAGGCUUACCAGGNCAACGAUCGGUAGCUGGUCUGAGAGGAUGAUCAGCCAGAUNGUCCCUCAGAACGGGAAGAACUCCUACGGGAUCANCAGAGGGG
rnacentral:rRNA from 1 species